rnacentral:rRNA from 1 species
AUCCUACGGGGCGCAGCAGUGGGGAAUAUUGCACAAUGGGGGAAACCCUGAUGCAGCGACGCCGCGUGAGUGAAGAAGUAUUUCGGUAUGUAAAGCUCUAUCAGCAGGGAAGAAAAUGACAGUACCUGACUAAGAAGCCCCGGCUAACUACGUGCCAGCAGCCGCGGUAAUACGUAGGGGGCAAGCGUUAUCCGGAUUUACUGGGUGUAAAGGGAGCGUAGACGGCUGCGCAAGUCAGAAGUGAAAGCCCGGGGCUCAACCGCGGGACUGCUUUUGAAACUGCGUAGCUAGAGUGCAGGAGAGGG